CAGUAGCCGCGGUAAUACGUAGGUGCAAGCGUUGUCCGGAAUUAUUGGGCGUAAAGGGCUCGCAGGCGGUUUCUUAAGUCUGAUGUGAAAGCCCCCGGCUCAACCGGGGAGGGUCAUUGGAAACUGGGAAACUUGAGUGCAGAAGAGGAGAGUGGAAUUCCACGUGUAGCGGUGAAAUGCGUAGAGAUGUGGAGGAACACCAGUGGCGAAGGCGACUCUCUGGUCUGUAACUGACGCUGAGGAGCGAAAGCGUGGGGAGCGAACAGGAUUAGAUACCCCUGUAGUCCCUGUCUCUUAUACA
rnacentral:rRNA from 1 species